rfam:Pseudonocardia sp. HH130629-09, complete genome.
GCCGGUGUAGCUCAGUGGUAGAGCAACCGCCUUGUAAGCGGUAGGUCGUCGGUUCGAUCCCGACCUCCGGCU